rnacentral:rRNA from 1 species
AUACGUAGGUGGCAAGCGUUGUCCGGAUUUAUUGGGCGUAAAGCGAGCGCAGGCGGUUUUUUAAGUCUGAUGUGAAAGCCUUCGGCUCAACCGAAGAAGUGCAUCGGAAACUGGGAAACUUGAGUGCAGAAGAGGACAGUGGAACUCCAUGUGUAGCGGUGAAAUGCGUAGAUAUAUGGAAGAACACCAGUGGCGAAGGCGGCUGUCUGGUCCGUAACUGACCCGCUGAGGCUCGAAAGUAUGGGUAGC